UCUCAGAGGGCGGAGCCAGAGAGCAGUGAUUGGUCAGACCAUAGAUAAUAUAGAAGACAGCACGCUAACGUCUCUAGUAUUCUGUUUCUAUGGUCGGCACGUCUGGUGGCAUCUCUGGCUGCUGUUGAUCUUGUUUUUGGAGUAAAACACGGUGGAAGCUGAAUUAGUGAGGAUGACUCCUGCUCCUGUCAUCUCUAAGCUCCUCACACAUCUUUACCUGCACAUGAGGAAAAUCACUCCUGUAGAAUGCAGUGGUUCAUCAGAACCUCUGGGGAUGUCCUGUGGAUUCUGUGGAUCCUGUGGGUUGCAGGGUGGGUCCUACCUAGACCAGGCUGAUCCUGGACCAUCCCACAGAUGCUCCAUCAGAUGUGGAUGUGGGGAGUGUGGAACCCAGAUGUUCAGAGGGAGAUGAUGCCACAUCUGGUCCAGCUGAUGGAAGGUCUUGAAGUUCUCUGACUGGCCUCGACUGAAGAUGGUCGUCUCACUGGAUUUAAGGUUCAGAUGCUCAGUAACAAACUCCACCAAUGAGCCAACAGGGAAGCUUUAGGUUUAUUAAAUGUUGCUAUGAAGGUUUCGCUGUUUUUCUUUGUGAAUGCAAUGUGCUCCAACUGAAACUUGAAUUAGAACUUAGAAGUAAAUCCUUCCAUCUGAAAGGAUUUAGUUGCAUUAAUAACCUCAUAACAUUCUAAUUUUUCUUCCAGUCUUAGUUGGAAAUAGAAUCUCUGUAUUGAUUCAGGUAAAAACUGAACUUCACAGCAUGUUGGAGCAAAACAACCAGAUGAAAACUGUGAUGGUGUUGGAUUGUCAGACCGUAAUGUUGCAGCUCAAAGCAGCUUUUCUAGCUCAGUUCAUUCUGACAUUCAGCUAUGAAUCAACACAGCAGAUGGUGAUCCAUGCUGUGGAAGUCUCACAUCUCCUGAUUUAAUGGAGCUGCUUUGCACUUUUUACACUGUUUAUUCACCAACACUUUAUUUAAUAAAAGUCCCAUCUAGUUUUUAUGAGGAAUGUGAUGUUUUAAUUUCUCUGUGAAUAACUGCAGUCUAAUGCAACAGCUGGAGUUGUAACAUCUGUCCUGAUAUUGAUCAUGAAGUAUUGAUCAGAAUACUUAUGGUCAGCAUUCAUCCCUGAAGUUUUACAUUAAAACCUUUACUUGUGUUGUGAAGUUUGGUAAGAAGCAGAAAUGUUAGCGUUGCCAUGGAUACAUGAGUGUUAAAUUCUGUCCAUGUUUCCAUUUUGGGAAAUGCAGUCCAGUUCCAGAAUGUGGAGGAAUUUAGUCUCACAGACAACAAAUAUUAUCUGAAAGUCGGGUUAUUGUUGUUUAUCAGCACAAUACAAAAAGAUUAAUGUUAGAAAUAUUCCAGUUAAGACUCUAGAAUAUCAUGAUUUAUGGAAAUUUACCUCAAUAAUAUGAAUGUUCAGGUUAAGAUUGUACAGUGAUAUUUAUUAUGCAAGUUUAGCUGAUUAAAGUUUAUGACUCUGCACUAAAAUAUUAUUUAAAUUGACAUCAUUAUUAUAUUUAGGGUCAGACCCUACAGUAUUGAGAUUAAGAAAUCAAAUAUUCUAUAAAAUGUAAAUACACUGAACUCAUUUGGAUAUAUUUAAGUGAGACUCUACAAUAUUAUUUGACACAAAUCUAACUAAAUCCAAAUUUUAAUCAUUUUUACCCCAAACAUUUACUGGACUGAUUUAAAUAUUAAAAUCACUCCUUUCUAAUCCUCUGCUGUACGUUCAAACCUGAGGCCUUAAAUAGAAACACACAAGUAUCUGAUUGAAGGAACUUCUGCAGAGUCCUGGUUCUAGAACAUGAUGAUAGAAUUAUAGCCAAACUUUAACAAAAGCUGCCUGAGAGUUUACAGAUUUUUAUGUUGGAUUUCUUCAGUAAAUUUAAUGAGUUAUCAGCAAUAAUCAAGUGUUCAUUUGAUGAACUUCAUUUCCUAAAACAUCCAGAAUUGGAGCUCAUAUCUUUGGCAGCUGUAAAGUUUCUGCUCCUUCAAAGUUCACAACACAAUGAAUGAAUUCCUAAAACACUCUCAGUGCUGGAGAGCGUUUGUGAUGCUGAAGCAGUGACCAGUUUUUCUGUUUCUUCUCUGGAGAUGCACAAUGAGGGACGUCUGCAGCGACUGAGAAAGAGUCUCACCACAUCCUGACAUGAGGAAAAAGACUUAAUUGAAGACUACAAUGAGAAAAACUAUCAGACAGCAGACGGCUGCAUUCAAGUCUGUAGCUGCUGAAUUCAUGGAUGAAUCAUCUGGCACUAGAAAGGAAGACCAUCAAACAUCCACGUCAGCUGAUGGAGGACCAAGAGUCUCACCUAACAACCAACCUACAGAGUGAAGACCUCGAAUCUGAUUGGACGGCCUCCUAUUCAGCCACAUGUGUGAACAAAUGCCUCUAAGUUGAUUUGUUUUCUAAAAUAAAUCUAGUUUGAGUCCUAAUCUAUGCCUGUGUGUUUGCUUCUUUACACCGCUGUUAACAGUUUAGGCUGUUACAUUGUUCCAGAUAAGACAAGUACAAGAUUCUUCAGAGCCGUUCUACCACGAGCCUGACAGGAAGAACUCCAACAGCUACUGAAUGUUCCUGUGGUUCCCUCAAGGCUACAGGAGGAGCCCUAUGAGGACGAGCCGGUCCACCUGAUGGCGGCCAGUCGCUGCGGUUCAAAGCCAACACCGACUACGUGGACUUCUACUGGACCACACGGAGGCCUUCAAACCGGACCAACAAGUUCACCGACUCCCCGACUCGUGGGUCUGAGGACGCCGCCGAGCCUCGGCCCAGCCGGCCUCCUGUCUGUGGGUGUUUGAGUGCUGAGAGGUUUGUGGAUGCAUGUGAACAUGUCUGUGUUGAAACAGCAGCUUUUCACUCAGUAACGCCGGGAAAAACCAAGAGCUCCUUUAUUUGUGACUUCCACUAAAAAAACUGAUGAAAAUAAGUUUGCCAGGGUUCUGACUAAUAACAGAUUAUUAAAUAAUGAAAAUAAUCGUUUAAAUAUUCUUUUAAACAAUCCUUUUAGGUCUGCAUUUCCUUUACACUGACUUCUUGGUAUAUGUACAAGUAUUUUGGGUGGAAUAUACCAUUAAGCCCGAUGUUCGAGGGUUCUUCUGGGAAUAUACCAUCAGAUCAACCUUUUAGGUCUACAUUGGAAGAUUUUAGAGUAGAAUAUUACUCCAAACCAUCCUUUAGGUCUACAUUUAAGGUGGAAUACUCCUUUACACCAAGAUUUUUUGGUCUACAUUGAAAGAUUUUAGGUGAAAUAUUCCUUUGAACGAACUUUUUAAGUGUAUGUUCAAGGAUGUUUGGUGGAAUAUACCAUCAGACCAACCUCCAAGUUCUACAGUAGUGAAUUUUAGAUGGAAUAUACCAUUAAACUCACCUUUUAGGUCUAC
ensembl:lncRNA